AAAAAACAUGGCGGUUAUUUUCUUGCAGCACCAAAAGAUCAGGGUAUGAUCAACAUCCUCCUUCAUGUCUCCUGAGCUUCCCUCCAUUUCUGAUCCAUCUCUUCAUUCUCCUCCCCCCUCUACAGUAUCUGAAGAGCUCCUCUGAGGAUAUCUCUCUUUCCCCAGAUGGUUGGAGAUUGCCGCUCUCCGGUUGCUGACACAGAACGGUCCCUGUUUCUUUGUUUCCACUGGUGACAGGCAGAGCGGAUGGGAGCUCUUUCCAGUAGGUGAGAUAUGAUUGUGUUGGUUUACACACUCCUCUGCACACACAAACAACCUCAAAGGUUUGAAGACACCAGACACCACCCUUCAUGCAGCCGUGGUUGUGCGUCCCCUCUAUGCCCACCUCCUUGUUAGGGUGCGAGUGCACGCACCUGAUUGAUCACCUUUUGUUUUAUGUACAGUGGAGCAGCAAGAGUUGUGUGAUUUGUUUAUGAUGUCAAACAGCCUCACUCUCGAUGUGCGUGUGAGAGAGACAGGGAGAGAAAAAUACAUACAGGAUGGAUUUUUUUUUUCCUGCCCUCUGGCCCACAUGCACACACACCAGCGCGCACACACACACACACUCAAAGUGUCAUGAGACUGUCAGCAAUGGCUUUGGCUACAACUCCUCCAGGCAUGUGGUCCUGCCACCUAUAAUCUACAAUGAGCAGAAAUGAGUUUCCUUUGUAGACGCUGCCUUUCCUGGACACACACACACACACACACACACACAUAUAAGCUAAUCAUACAUGCAGCUGGUGUAAUAAUAAGGCAGGGUGCAGACAGUGCUGGAAUAACUACUGAGACAGGGUGAUAUUUCACAACCUCAAUAAUUGGAUACGUCUCUAUUCCCUAAUUACGAUCUAAAUCACAUACGCUGCAGCUCCAUACAUACAGUAUACAGAUAAAACAGAAAUGACACACGCUCACACACACACACACACAUAUUGUGUCUGUAAAUUUAUGCAUGAGCAAAUUCAAGCGUGAGUCUCACUGACACACACUCACAUGCAAACAAAACAACAAAAAACAUGUUCGUACAUGUACAUGUAAGUUUCCGCCGUCUCGUAAAAGCUGAUGUUUUAUACAACGCCAUAAUGUGUAACGUGCUGCGGUUCUACAUCAGCUACUUAUCAUACUUUUAUGCAGUGUGAAGCAGCUUUUGUCGUAUAUAAAGUACAUGCAUUAUGAAAGAAGUGUCUUUUGAGAAGUAGCAGCACUACAUCAGGGCACGGUGGGUGUUAGCAUGCAUGGAAAUAAACACUGAAGAGAGUUUUCUCGCCGUGUGAGAGCUCUGAGGUCAGUGCACGGGAAAGAAGAGGAGCUUCACACCACGGCGACAUUGUGUUGGUUGUAUUUCAGCGUUUUGGUCUAAACCACUGAAUCAUUUUAAGAGUUUUUUUCUCGGUGGCAGAAAACACAAUGUAAGCUUCUUUUGUGAUACUCUAUUGAUCUCUGGGAGGAAAAUAAUCCUUUUGCUUGCGCCUUUGCAGGGAGGUCAGAGAGCAGGGUUAUCUACAGAGCAGUGUCAGGUUAGAAAAUAUGAGCACCAUUAUCAGCAGCAUAGCAGCCAGCUGUGGAGAACAAACCCGAGUCAAGAGGCGGACGAGAUGGGAGUGUCUGAUAUGUGGUCCGGCUAAAGUUGACAUCUCAUAGACUGUAUAUACUACGGACGACUUGGUCCCGCCUUCCGCCAGUUAACGGGUUUGAAGACGAAAAACUCUUCGUAAUUCCGCGUUUUUUCCUUCACUUCCAGAAACCAACAUUACGCAGUAGCGUUGUACACAUUUGGUGGGAGAGUCGCUGUGAUGAUGCUCGGCUCAAACAGCAUAACCCACCGAUGCGAUAUUUUUUUCCGUUGCAUGGUAGGGGAAGGUCCCGCCUCCUUCACCUCUGAUUGGCUAGAAGUGCUCGGCUCCGAUUGGUUAUUUCUUAUGGCUGUAAAACGUCAUCGUCUGUCGGGUUAAGGUUAUGGUAAGGAGAUUCAGGAGUGCGAUAAUGUUCUGUUCGAUGUACAGAGCCGAACGCCCGUGCUCAGCUUGAGUGUGUGAUGAUGUUUCCAGCUUUUCUAGCCAAUCAGAGGCGAAGGAGGCGGGACCUUACUAUCCUAUAUAAAAAAUAUGGCCCCCCUAGUUAGCUACGCAAUCUUUGUACGCCUAUAGGCUGUAUCAAGUGUCAAUCAUAGGGAACAUGCUCACUUAGCAAUAGACAGCUAUUAGACAUCCAAUUUUUUUAUUUAGAUCUAAUUUCAAUCGUCUAGAUUCUGUAUAUUUUUAGACGGAAUUUAGACGUUGCACUUUAACCCGUUAUUCAAUAACUAUUUAUUUCAAAAAGCAACUGUGAGCUGCAUAACUGAUCACCAAGUACUGAACCAGAAUAAUUAUGAUAGCUGUUGAGCAAAAUACAGUGUAGUAUAGAUAAAGAUUCAGACUUGGUCUAAAUUUAGAGGUCUAAAAAACGUUCAUUUUUAGACCUGUGGUAGCAGGUUUUAGACCAGUCGUUAAGGCUACAAUUGGAAGAUUUCUAUUCUGACAAAAUAAAGACAAAUAAUACUGAACAAAUACAACAACAAAAACAUGAUGUAGUUAGUAACAGAGGUGCAUUCUUUUCUCCUGACUUUUAUAGUAUCACUAGUUUUACAUCAAGAUGUCAUUCCCGUUCUUUGGACAACAAUCUGAUGUUUUCAGGCAUCACAGAGUCGACCGUGUUACAGUUUGGUUUGAUUCUGGAGUCUACAAUUGAUUUCAGACAAUUUCAGUGAAAAACAUCUCAAGACCGAAAAAAAAACCCAACAAAAAGGAACAAAAUCCCUUUUCAUGUCUGGAAAAAAACAGCUGGUUUAGCGCUGACAUUUAUCCUGCCGCUGACAAUAUGGGGGUCACACCAUGAGUCUAUUUCUGGUACCCGGUCAGUUUUUUUCAUGUUUCCUUCAGAGGAGAGAGUAAAUAUCUUCCUCAUCCUCUUCAUCCGCAGGCUGCCGACAUCGUCUGAAAGGACAGAGGGAUGUGGAGUCACAUCUUGGCAAAAACAACAGACAAUUGGUUAGGGUGACCGUAUUCUGAUCCCCAAAAAGAGGACACGACCCCGGGGUGGAGUCAUGGAGUCACACGUAGUACAUUUUGAGAGUUUUUUAAGUUGGGUUGAGUGUUUUCUACACAAUAAUAACUCAGUUAUUCCACACGACACAAACUCAAAACUUACCUACCGAAAAGAGGACGUAUGAUAACCCUACAAGUGGUGCUAGUUUGAUAAUGAGAGUGAAUCUGACAGACAGAGAUGUGGAUUGAUGUUUAUACUCUCUGAUUUGAUUGGGUCGUGGUUCAACAUUCUUCAUUAGAUCAGAUUAUUACAUUUCUACUAGAGCCUGAUCACUAAAUCCCUAUCAUAGCCAUAUAAGCAGGGAUACCUGACAUUCCACCUACACUUUCUUACCUUUGUCAUCAUCUGUCAGAUUUUUGGCUCCAAACACUUGGUGCUCACCUUCUUUUUCUGAAUAAACUGGUUGUGCAUUUUGCCGAGGAUUUUCCAGCCUCUGUUUUUCUUUUGCAGGUUGGUGAUGCAGUCUUUAAUUUAGAUCUUAUUGCUCAAUUAAAAUGAACACGGUUUACUAAAUCUGCGACCCGUUUCUCUUCAUGGGAUUUGGUUUUAGCUGUUGCAGUAUUCGCCCUCGUCAGCCACUGUAGCUCCCUCCCUUAAGAGCGCCGCACUCUCUGUUCCAACUUUCAUAACUUUAGUGAAAAAACUAAUCCAGGACAAAAUCUUCUACAAGAGAAGCUCAUUUGUUGGAAUGUCUGCAUGGCGUAUAAAACAGCAGUACACUCGGGAAUACUUUUCAGGAUUAUAAUACUUAGUGUAGGAAGGAAGUAUAAGGUGAGGAGUCGAAACAGGAACAGGCAGCAGACCUAACAAGCCCUGCGUCUUUGACGGCUGCAGCUGUGAAACAAUCACUCUACAAUUACCCCCCUGUCUAUGUGUCACGGUGCAUAAUGACAUUUAUUCUGCACGCCAUUUUUCUAGACCGGUUGCACUUGUGUGCAGGGUUAAAAUGAUUGCUGCAAUUACAUUUCCCUUAUGGAAGUGAGUAACAUAUGGCCGACACGCCGAAUCAGUGACAGAACAACAGACUUUAGUUUCCAAGGUUUCACUUUUAAUGAGAUUUAAAAAAAAAAAAGAAAAGGUUGUUCCUGCAUCUCAGUCUUAACACAUCUGAAAAAAAAACAAGAUUUCCUGUAAACAAGUGUCAGAAAACAAAGUGAAAACACAAUUAAAUCCUCCAACAUGUCUUCUGUAUGUGACAGUGAACGCAGAGAGCAAACACCAUUAUCAUCUUCAGCACCACCACCUCCACCAUCAUCAGCAUCAUCUCAUCUAUAAUCACAGUGAGAAUCCCUUUGGGGUGUUAUUUCCAUGGUUGAGCAUAGUCGUUAACACAGUGUGAAAGGGGAGCAAUGAAGCUCAGUGUCUGGUUGGUUAAAUCGCAUAAUAAGCUAUUAUAGCAGAAAAAUCAGUGCUGGCACAAUACCAAUUACUGAAAAUAAUGUUUUUUUUUGUCUUUUCAAACGGUCGUUUAACCGCCGUAUUGUGCUGACAGUGAUGCUUUUUCUUCUGUUCCAUAUUCACACUUGGCUAAUUACCUUCUGAAGGAAAAUUAGAUUUAGUUCAGUGGUGGGAAUCUACCUGAAACGUCUACGCAGCUGAGUAACCGAGUAUAAACCUCACUGACACUAAGAUUACCCGCAGCCAUCUGUAGCGGGCUAACCCCCAAUUUCCACCGCAUCCAGAACAGCUACGAAAAGGUCGUAUCCGCCAAUUGUAGCUGAUCGUAACAUUUCAAGUUAACGUGUCCAUUUCCACCGACUUCUUUCCGUUCCUCUGCGGAUCCCCGGACUCCUCAGCUGAUCACAAGAGUUCUAUUUUUUCUGGACGUGCUGGAAAGGAAGUCGGGCACAGACACAAAAUAAAACAUCCUGCUUCUUUUCAAAAUAAAACACUCCGUGUUUCAGGAGGAUCGUAUUUCACACCAUGCAAACGGGCGGAGACGAACAAGUGAAAGGUUUUUAGACGUCAUUUCACCCCGAUGACACCAUGGAUGAGGAGAUGCUGAUUCUAGAAGUCUAGAAGUAGAUUUCCUCCUCUGGAAGGAUACAAUCUACUGCUUUUAUAUCUAUCUAUCUGUCUUUAUAGAGACAACUUGUUACCGCACGUGAAUCUGCAGGUUCUUGUGAGUUCUCGCGAUUCCCGCUGUCCGUAAUCCGCCACGAAAUUCACCUCACAAAUGGAUCCGGUACUAAUUGGCGGAAGGUGAAAACCUCGCAGUUCCAGAUGCGGUGAAAAUUGGGGGUUAGCGGCAGAAAUACAUCAAAUGUAACCUAUAUAUGUGAUAUUAUAUUCAAUAUAUGACUUAUUUUGUAAGUUUAACCACAAACACAAAUAAUCAACCUGUUUUUAACCACACUGAUAUCAAUGACUGGCAGCAGGUAGAUGUUAAAGUUGGUGGCUGGUGUUCCUGUACAAAGUAAAAAAAAAACAGUUCAACUCUUAUGACACAGAAAAGCAUCACUGGCCACUUAAAAGGGGGCGGGGACUCUGGAUUAAAGCAAAAGUUCCAUUGAACAGGUUUAGUUACCUUCACGGUGUGCGGGUACAAAACUGCUGUCAGUGGACACAGGCCCUCGAUGUGCUUCAGGACGCCUCAGCAGGGUGAAAGGAGCUCUGUCAGAUUAAAUAAGGAAAAUCAAACAAUGCCAUGCAGAUUAAGAUUUAGAUGGAUUAGAUUGAACAUCAUAUUAUUUUAAAGUAGUUAAUUCAUAUUGUGGGAAAGAGGAAACAGUUGGAGAGGAGACAUCUAAUUCAAAACUUCAGCAUAAUAAAGUCUGGAUAUUAAAAAGUUCUGGAAAUGAGAGUUUUAAAAUUUCAUGGUAAGUUGAUAGAAAUGAUACAAAUUAUUAUUAUAUUUUAAUCUAAAAAUGCAGAAAGAGUAAUACUUGAGACGCUCUGGCCCACUCUCCAUUUCAGCAGGUGGUGAAACGCACUGACUCCCCGUUCGCCAACUGCCAAGAAAUUUUAAAUAAGGAGGAGAGGAAGAAAUCAAAUCCAGACUGGGCUUGAAAAAGACCGCUGUUUCUCUCUGAGUUUAUGUUUCAGGUUUUAGUAAGAGAUAUAUUGUGUAGACAGCAGCUUGUCGUUGUCCGACAGUGUAUAAAUACAUAGAUUCAACAGUGUUUGUCUGAGAUGGAAAUGCUAACAUGCCCGUCAAACCACUUGACCUCAAAUAAUCCAAAAUAAAUCAGCGAAUGUCAACAAAACAAAUGUUGAAAAGUUUUCUGACGCUUAUAAAACAGACAAAAAAUCAAGCUGUGACUGUCAAGAAGUUUGGGGUUCGUCAUUUAUCACACGGAUGAAAAUAAAACUGCACAUGUCUGGAAACGUUUGACAAAAGUCUAAUCUUUAAAGUUGAAAUCGUCACCAGACACCGAUAAAUGAUUAUAUUUGCAGUCUUAAAGUCAAGCUGUCAGAGCAACAUGCUGAAGUUUAUUCUUGUCUCGUUUCUCCUUUUCAGACAGAACUUUAAUUUAUGAGAUAAUGAACCCAAAUCAGAGCACAAAUAACCCGAUUAUUGGCAGAAAUCCUGGAGCUAAUCAAUCAGGCUGGACUGGUACUCCAUGUGGAAGAUAUCUGCCAUCCAAUCAGAGCUCAUCUGUUUCCACGAGAGAGGAGAGAGAAACGUUUAGAUUUGGUUCAUCGAGUAUUGUGCAGGACUUUUAAAAGUGCAGAAAUAAUGAAGUUGAAGUUGCUUCGUAUAUUUACAGUAUUACUUUGAAACAGAGAUGUUUACUUAUGUUCAAAGUGUGAGUUUUCAUAGGCUCAAAGACUCUGGUUCGAGUCCAAGCUGUCACAUAUGGCAACAAGCUGUCCCAAGACGCUCUGUGAUUCAACAGGGGGAAGCAGUCGGGAUAGUUUGGUCACGAAACGCUCUCUCUGCCAAUGUGAAGAAUUGGAUUGGCACAAGUGCGUCUGAGGAGCAGCAGAUCCAAAUGUCCCUCCUCGUGUUUCUCUCUCCUAUUGUGACACAAAAACAUCAUCCAUGUGCCGUUUGUCUCCGCACAAUGUCGGUCUAAAAAUACGCCACUGUUGUUUUGUAUCGAGACUAAAACGGCGUUUUAAACGCGUUUUCUUUGUCUUAUCUGGUCGAUAUGUGAAACUCUGAUAGGCAGGACUUCACUGUGAAUUUACCUUCAUACAAAUAUAAUUUUCCUGAAUCUUCUGUAUUCAUCUGACCUUGUGUGAGUGUGUGUGUGAAUGUGCAGACAGGUUUUGGUGUGUGUGUGUGUGUGUGCGGCUGUUUCAUACAUUUCGUUCCAACUCCAUCUGUCUCCGGCUGAAAGGCAGGUCUUCCGUCAGGUCUUAUCAGCUCUCCUCAGACUGUGGGCUGUGACUCAUUCAGGGGCCGUAGUCUGACACAUCUGAAGCCCAUCGAUGUGGCUGUGAAUGUUAACUCCUGCAGACUCCCGUCCCCGCCAUCUUCAACUUCAUGCUCUUAAGAGACUUUUACCUUUCACAGAAAUGUGCGCGCGCAGGAAAGGGCAGACCUCCUGAAUCCCGCUUUCUGUGUGUGAGACUGAGCGGUGAACAAAAUCAUGAAAACUCAAAACAGGCUGAGGUGAACUGGACUAUUGCAUGAAUACGGAUUAUUAAUUGAAAUAUAACAUGAAAUACUAUUUUUUUCUCUUUCUACAAAGUCUGUUUCCUUUUUUUGCAGGAAAAUAAACAAACAGACGCUCCAAAAAGACCUGUUUAUAUGAAUUUAGUCGUACUUUAUCAUUUCCUUUAAGUAAUAAUCACCAUAUUAAUCAUUUUACAGACGCGGUAGUUCUUCUGCCUUAGCGUCGAUCAUAAAUGUUCUUCCUUGAGCUGCGGCACCCCGCUGUAGUCUGUAAUGGACUGGCCUGAGGUCUGGCUACAAACAAGCGUCUGCUGGAAGAGAGUCGGUGAGUUUAGUGUUUAGGCAAAGUUAAAAAGUUGUUUGGUGGCUAGCAGGGCUGGACCGAUACAGAUUUUUUGGGGCCGAUGCCGAUUAUUAGGGGGGAAAAAAUCUGAUUACCGCUUAAUCGGCCGAUUUUUAAAAUUUUUUAUGAAGUUUUAAAAAUGUUGUUAAUUUAAGUAAAAUAUCUAGAUAUUCACUUAUUUGUUAACAAAUAUUAACAAAUGGCUGCUUAGAAUUAAAGUGCUUUGACGGGCACUGAUUAACCAAGACGAACAGAAAUAGUGUUGAAUUUUCUGUCACUGUUCCUCUUCCUCUAUGCUAAACAAAACUACUAAAACUAAACUUCUGCACAUGAAUCUGAUUAUUAAAAAAGCCUUCAAGGUUUUGGCUUCACUUUUAGUACCAGCUGUUAGGUCCAUCUUUUAUAUAUUUAAUAAAACGUAUCCAGAACAUGACUGUAACCCUUUUCUGAGCUGUUUUGACAGGAUGUAUUGUUGCUGUAUUGACCGGGCGUGCUCACCUUCCAGUUCGUCUUCAUCCCUCCUCCCUCCUCCUCCUCCUCCUCUCUCCUUCAUCGCUCUCUGGUGGGUACACUCCAUUGGUAUGCAGGCUGAUGUUGGCUGCUGUUUGCUGGGGAAGGAUAAAGCAGUAAUCAGUGCCAAUGAAGCAGCUCUUGUCCCAGAGCACAAAUGUGCCAACAUCAGCAACACCAACAGACUUUGUGUGUCAGUGUGCGUGCGUUAGUGUGUGUGUGUGUGUGUGCGUCUUUGGAAGUGCUGGUGUGGAGGAAGUGGAGCAGUACCAAGGAGGUCACACAGAGGUCAUUUUCUUUGACACAGAUGUUAAAUUACUGUUUUUUUUUCUUCUUCUGCACAGAGCCAGCUGUGCAAUAUGAUCACAUUCAUCACAGCGAAAUGACCGGCUCUGCUGUUGUGGGUUUUUUCAGGGUCCAGUCUGAGUCUGAGCCACAGCGAGGGAGAAGAAUACGCUUUAACAGACACAGACACUAUUUUAUACGAGAAAUUAAAGCUCCUGUAAGGAGUUUUUACUUGGUUUUGACACUGAUUGAAAUGGUACGGAUGCUUCAAGAGGACAUGCAAAGUAAAUAAGACCAUCAGGGAGAAGUAGGGCUGGGUGAUAUGGCCUCAAAUUUAUUUCAUGAUAUAUUCAUGAAUAUUUAUUUGACACCAAAUAUAUUGACAUGGGCAAAAUGACGUUGGUUAUAAUCAUAAUUUUGGUAUCUGUAAAUUUUCAGUUUAUCGCCCAGCCCUACUUGUUUUUACUUAAAACUUGGAAUUGCACUUGAAAGACUUUUAAGACAAACCAGCUCCACACAAUGAAAUAGAUUGACACUGAAGAUACCGAUAUGGGCAAAAUGACGUUGACUUUUGUCGUAAAUUUCGGUAUCUGUAAAUUUUCGGUUUAUUGCCCAGCCCUACAGAGAAGAUAGACACUUUCAUUCGCAGGGUCACAGCACACAGCUAAUCUUCUGGAUGAGUAAUACCAUAGACAGGAUGAGUUAUUUCAACACAACACUACUUGCACAUAAACAGAAUAGUAUCAGCAGGGAAAUAAGACAAAACACUUUGUGCACGUCAAACUGACGCACACCGAGAGUUCCUCAAAGGAGCUGAAAUAUUUGAUCUGAAUGUCGGACCCAGAGGCUCCGUUUUCAGUUCUGACUCUGCCGCUUUGACAAAUGUUCUGGGACGACUUCUGCUGAUUUAUUUCUCACUUUUGUUUGCUUAUCAUCGAAAAAAAGGCAAAAUAAAAGUGAGUCACAGAACAAAAACCGAAUCAGGAACAAUAUCCUCCCCGUGUAAGACGCCACCCUCAGUCAUCUAAUCCCAUCUUUUUGUCGACAGUUCAUCUAGUGCGACGGUGUCUACGAGCGCUGUACCUCAACGCUUCAGUGGAUGACUGAGAUUGUUGCCUCCAGCUGGCAGCUCAGACGCAUCAGUGUGUGUAAACAAACCUCACCCAGACAAAAAAAAAGGUUAAAAUAAUUAGUGUUGUGAGAUCAGCCGCCUUAACAGUGAUUAUCCUCCUCUGCUGUUUGAACCAGAGCGCAUUCAUCCCCCUGAUCUCCGAGCACAUUAGCACACAUUAACUUUGUUUGUCUUCCAAUUUGUGUUUCCCCUGUCAAUAAAGUUGUUUGAUUUCAAUGUUGACUGUGUUGAAUCUGUCAUUGAUAAAUCAAACCUUUUGUUUCUCUGUUUACGUUCAUGAUCCAGCCUCUUGUCUGUGUCUUUUCACGGUGAGAGUUCAUGUGCGGAUCUUUGCAGAGCGCUGAAAGAGGGUCAGUCCGGUUCAAUGACGACUUCAAAGAACAUUUUCAGCUGAUUCGUCAUCUAAUUGCUGUUCAUUCAAGUUACAUUCAGAGCUCCAGUUGAAUACAUGUACCUGCAGCAGUGAAACCAACCAGAGUAUGAAAGUACCUGAUAUAUGAUUAACUCUAGAAAGGACAUUUUUGAGGUUAUUACAUUAAGUUAAAGUUCCUGUAAGGACAAAAACCUCCACUGCUGCUCUUCAUACAGCCCACUGUGUGUUCCUGCUCUGCCCUCCGUCACACAGCUGGACACUAACAAAGAACUUUAGGGGCACAACGAAAAUUGAUGAAAUAAUGUGUGUCUUAUUGGUUGGCACUAGAGCAUGACACAGGAGUGGAUUUUCACUCCUGUUCCAUCCCACUACCAGAGCAAAAAUCCUGUCCCGUCCCAAUCCCGGAUUGGAGUAAAAAAAUUUAUCCUGUCCUGUCCCACUCCCGUAGAAUGACUCCCACUCGCAUCCUGCUCCCACUCAAAAUGACUCCGACUCCUGUCCCGCUUCUGUUUGAAUAAAACCAAACAUGUUGAAAAAACGAUGCAUUUUUUAUUUAAAAAAAAUAAAAAGGUAAAAGUGGCAGCCGAGUCAGUAGUAUAAAUAUAUCGUCGCUAUCCAAUAAAAAACACGUAUCUCCAAAUUUUUUUUUUUCAGGAACAUUGAAAAACUAUUUUAUUCAUAAACUACCUUACAGGAUAAACCCAAAAUACUGUAAUUAGACACAAUUAGGACUCAAAAUAAAAAUCUAUAUUUACACAGUCAUCAGUGACCUGUUUGAUAUUUUAAACGGACCAACGUGCUUUGCGUUGAAAGUGACAGUAGACAUACAUGUUUUUUUUUAAUAAUGCGCUUCAAUGACGUUUGGUAAUUUAUGAGCUGUGAGUUUCCCGUUUAUGUCCCACUAUGUUGAUAAACUAUGGAUAGCAGGCUAUAAAAGAUUUUCACAUUGCACAUUGGUUGUCAACCUUUUUGAGUCGCGACUCCCGAUUUAACAUGAACUAGUGUCCGUGACCGAGUGUGAGAGAGAAAAGAGCAACAGCUUUGCCUCUGAGGAUGAACUUCGGCUCAAGAAAUCUAACGUUCAGGUAAACAGCACUGUCAUGGUUAGAAAAAAGUUUGAGGUUUAGUGUAGCAUUACUCUGGACUAUAAUGAGUCAGUCACAGUGUAAAGACAUGACAAUACCAGGGCAAGAGAUACAAGCUUUGUUGACACUUCCGACACCCAAUGGAGAUGCUUGUUGAAAAGUUGAUUUUAUAAAAAGUCUUUCCAUCGGUCAUUUGGAGACACAAAGCUACGGGUUAUUAGGGAAGAUGACGGACCAUGCAUGAAUUGAAAAAAGUCCAGAUCGCUUAAAGUGGAGAUAUGUGUUUCUCAUUAGACAGUUACGAUACAACAUAAAGACAGGGCUUAAUUAUAGUGUUUUAUUUUUAUACUGUUUCAACAUUAUAUUGUUUAUUUUGUCUCAAACUGGACAGUUUUAUUCCUCCUCUCUGUGUUUCCUAAACUCCCUCAACAAUCGUACAAUCUGGCCCGCUGAGAGCAGAAUGGAAAUCACAGCGACAGAAAUAAACACAGAAUAAGGACAAAUUUGUGGCGUUGCACGAUUAUUUUAUAUCAUCAUUUCAAGACUGGAAGUGUUGCUGUGUAAAUUUCACCAAUUCGAUCUCAUACUGCAGAAACAUCAUCUAACAGUAAGAUAAAUGUCCUCACAGCAUCACUCACGGUGUUUACUUCAUAAAAAAAUCACCUGUGCUACUUCAUUUAAAAUGUGGAUGGUAAUGAAUGUCAAUGUACAAACAGCUCCAGAGGGUCAAAGGUCUGAGUCAGCGAGUCUUUCCAAGGUAAAGGAGGAAUUAGCAUGCAGGAAUUUAAAUUACAAAUGGGGUUUUGAUUGUCAAAAGAUGGAUGAUACCGAGGAGCUGCUGGAACUUUGUGAGGGCGUGCAGCCAAGACCACAGUGACGUGGUGUUUUUUUUUUUAGUGGAUGCACAAACAGACUGUAUGUGUUCCCACCUCCUCAAGGAUGUUUCUCUAUUGACUUUCCCCUGACAGUAAGGAUAGGCUCAGUGGGAGUGUGUCAGUUAUUAUCAGGCGCCACGGAGCAAUUUUGAUGUCACGAUUUCUGUACUUUGCACUUCCCACCAGCACAGACCUUACCUGAGGGGCACAGCAUAUGGGUUCUAUAAUAAACUUGUAGCUUUUGCUCUAUCUGAUAUCUCAAAUCAGGUCCUGAUAAGAAACAGCUUGUAGAUGAAAAGUCAGAUUAUUACUCAGGCUGUUUAUUAGAGUCUUGUAGAUAUACUGCGUUUAAACCAGGUUGUGCAGUUCGAUAACCGACUUCUUUUACCCGUCCUAAUGUCUCAGUCUUUCGUUAAUACCACUGCUUUAUGUUGCUUUUCAUGCAAGUUUCCAACAAUGCCACAGCUCUCCUUGGGUUUGCAAAAGCGUUAUCUCCUCCUAGGCUAAUUUAAUUUAAGACGCUGUGUAUUUACUCGUGUUGAGUAAAUACUGUACCUCCCGCACAAGGACACUGAAUCCCCUUGGGAGAAUCUUUUGUGGCAGCUGUGCUGAAGGCCGCUCUCAUCAGGAAAUGCAGAGUGCACAGCUUUCGCAGGAAAGUAAAAGCGGCGGUGAUAAGAUUGGUUAUGACUGAUGCCAGCCGCUACCAAACUAACUGAUAAUGUAUUCCCCCAGAACUCAGACUCUCAUGAGCCGUGCUGGAGUCCUAUCGUCUGGACUAAAACUACAAAGUUUGCUCACAUCAAAGCUAAGCUCCUUUUCUUUCUGUUUAUGUUAUUUGGUUUUACGCUGGAGCGGCUGUGUUGCAACAACAGCUCUGACCUUGGAGGUCUGGCUUCUAAAAGGUUUCAUGUAUGCAGAGCCGGAGAGCUGAACAGAUCCACGACUGUGACAGAUCCACACCCCUCUGAACCACCAAUUACAGUUAUCUACAAUUACCUGCAUUUUAUAUCUGUAAAACAACUUAAAACCUUUUAAAUCUCAGUUGCACGAAUGUAAAUACAUCCAAUAUUGCACUACAGCAUAAUUUAUCUGUCAUAUUCUAAUAUCUAUAGUCUGUUUACAGCCUUCAUAUUUAUAACCAUAUGUAUAAUCUGUUCAUAGCCUGUACAUGCUUAUAGUAAUAGCAUAUUCAUAACAACGUCAUAUACCCCUGAUAUGCUCAUGUAUCUCCUUCAUACCGUGUACAUUUGUAGAUAUAUUUCUGACUUCCUUUUAAGGAUUUUAGAUUUAUUUUAAAUUUUUUACUUAUCAUGUUUUUAUGUAUUGUCUGUCUAAUAUUUCUGGUUUAUUCUCCCAAAAUAUCAACUUAUAUUAUCCCAGUAUCACAGAGAUCAGCCUCGCUUUUAUACUCUUCAUUCCUUGGCGAUGAUUUUGACCCCUGAAUGAGAUCGUAUGUGAUACUAUUGUGAUAUUUUAUGUGUUUUUCUCGUAUAUUUUCAUGCACAAUCUCAUGCACAUUAUUAGUCAUCCCACUUCUGUUUCCUUCGCCACAAUGCUAGUAGCCUACGGGUCAAAUUGUACAUUUCCGACUUUGGAUAAAGCUAAUGUUAGCAUUAGCUUGACCGAGAUUCAAUGUACAUUUCUGACUAUCAUGGUAAAUGGACAGGGAAAAUGUCAUAGAUGGAGCCUACAGACAAAGACAACAGUUUUAUUAAUUACUAAAAAAUCAUGUGAUUCAUGUUUGAUACUCGAAUGACGUCGCUCAAUCUGAGCCGAUAACUUUCGAGAAAGAAACAGGGGUGGAUCUGUCACGGUUGUGGAUCUCCGGCUCUGCAGACACCACCUACUCGUUUCAUGAGUUCUAGUAUGUUCCCCCCCUUCUGGACUAAGCUCGACUUAGAGUGUGUGUGUGUGUGUGUGUGUGUGUGUGUGUGUGUGUGUGUGUGUGUGUGUGUGUGUGUAACCAGCAUGUGACUGCCUGCUGUGUGGCCCCGUCUCUUGUCUGACAUGCCAGCCUAAUCUGCUAUCAAACAGCCUCACAGACCUUUGCCUCUUACAAUGGCUGCCUAGCCCUGAUUAGUGUGUGUGUUUGCGUGUGUGUGUGUGUGAGUGUGUGUGUGUGCGUGAAGGUAAAAGGAGGAACAAGGAGGACAAUAAGGCGUGAUGAAGGGGGUUCAAAUAAGGGGCAAGGUGGGACAUUCCUUUUUAUGGAUUGCAGAGCCCAGAGACUGUACAAACUCACACACACACACUUACACACACACAUAUGAACACACACACACACACACACACACACACUCACAGCUUUACAUGAUUGCACACAGAGUCUCACAAAGAUUAAAGGCAGAGUUGUGUCGCAGAGUUACCUAUAUUUCACGCGGUAAAGUGGCGAUGGUUAUAAUGCAAUCUCUUCCCAAGAGCCCCCUAGUGGCCCCAUAAUACGUCAGGAGACACCCGCUAAUAAAAGAGCUAUUUCACAGCCACACAGGCAGUAAAUUCACGUGCCAUGAGCCGAACUUGCGUCGGCUCUUGUGGGCUCAAUCUCCAUCAGGACUUUCGUUUACAGUUGUUGCGCUCAUGUCCAUAUUUGCAAUUUCAUGCAUCCAAGCACUAUUUCAUUUCCUCUCAAUGCGAAACUUUGGCACGGAGAGCUUCCAGCAUCAUCUGCUCUUUGGGGUCUCGACUGUGUAUGAACUUAAAACUUAAAUUGAAGUUGAAAAAAAAAAAAAGAGCAUGCUGGAAGAAAAGGGAUGAAGUCGCAGAGCGUAAGCUAAAUGGCAGCAGCUACUUAUUUCUUCACCUUCUGAGGCGUGUUUGCCAGGUGACUAUUAAUGUUCAAUCAGUGAUCGAUCAGAGCCAUUCAACGUCGGUGUCACACUGGAGUUCAUCCUUCACCAACCGUGUUAUUUUGUUGUCAGGAAUAUGCUUUGAAUAUUCUUUAAUUAGCGGCCCACACACACUUUGUUUUUAAGUAUGCUUUUAUGAGGUCUGUCAAACUGUCUUCUUGAAGCCCCCAUCCUGAAUUAGUUUCAGUUUUCAGGGUCAAGUACGGUCCAUUUGAGCCGAGCUGAAUGUCAGCCUGUAAAUAACCACCUCGGACAGAGCUGCUCUCAACCCCAUCAUCGAGUGCUCGAUAUUUCUGAAGCCAGCGUGAUGAAAUUUGUGACAGCUUUACAUCCCGCUGACACAAAUGGACGGAUACGGUAAACCUUGAACAGCCCUGUACUCCACUCAAAAACAGCAACUUAUGCUGGAUUAUGACAUCCAAACAUCGACACCCGGGGUCACCAAAACUUAACCUCUGCUAAAAAAAAAAAAAAAGGGCUUCUUUGGCUCAGCGUAAACGCAGCUUUUGGCGUUUCUGCAGCCAGCCUCAAGUCGACACUUGGGGAAAUGCAGAUUUUAGCAGUUCAGCAGGUGUCAAUGACAAUAACAUAGGUAAGAGUCAUGACAAUGAGACAAACGCGAGGUUGAAACCAAAAGGAUAAAACGAUGCAACAAGGCUUACCCCCAAACUACAACAAAAGUGGAACAGCAGCGAAAAGGCAGAUGAUCAGCGCCGAUUGCCGCUGAUCGUUUCCAUUUAAGUUAAGGUGUCAAAUUCCGGUGGCUUCCUGCGGUUCAGCGGACUCCGCAGCCUAUCGCCAGUCUUCUAUUUUUUCCGAACACAUGCCGUAUAAAUUCAGCACAGAUUAGCCUGGGUUGGAAAGGAAGUCGGGCAAAGACACAAAAUAAAACAUCCGGCGUCUCGAAGUGAAAAGGUUUUCAGACCUCAUUUCAUCCCGAUGACACCAUGGAUGAGGAAAAAGACAUACUCAUAACAUGUUAUUUUAUAAUCGGUUUCAUGGAUAUAGAUAAAUAUUGCACUUACCCAUGGGUAAAUCCCAAUCUCCACAAAACGUCUGAUCUGCUGGUCUGGACAGAGUAGAUUUCCUCCUCUUGAAGGACACAAUCUACUGCUUUUAUGGUUAUGUGGCUGUCUUUAUAUAGACAACUCGCUAUCACUCGAUUGCAUGUGAAUUCGCAGGUUCUGUUGAGUCCUCACGAUUCCAGUGAAAUGUACAGCCGUUCCACAUGCAGCGGAAUUUGGGGGUCAGCGUAAACGUGGCUUUUGGUGUUUCUGCAGUCCUCGAGUCAAGACUUGGGUAAAUGCAGAUUUUUCUGCAGGUGUCAGUGACAAUAACUCUGGUAAGAGUCAUAAAAAAUGAGACAAACUCAAGGUGUUUGAUCCUGAAACCAAAAGGAUUAAAUGAUACAAGGCUAAGAAUCAUUCGAGGAUUUUACAAAAGCCUGUUACUGUAACCAGACGUUUAAAUACACCUUGUGAUUUGUGCAAUUCCUACAACAAAUAAACGGAUUACAGAAGCUGUUGAGUAUCCAGAAAAGGAAAAUACUUCUGUUUGGGUGAAAAACAGAUUUAAAAAGUAUAAAAAGCUUGUGUGAAAAUGUUCUGACAGUUGUGGAAAAGGAUUUUAGUGGUACUGAAAUACCAGCAGGAAAAUAGAAGAUAAAAGCCCGGUGAAUGGUCUGUGAUUUUUGCAGCCAGACCAGCAGGAAAUCAAAUAUCCUUUUCUGAGUAAAUGUGAACCGUACAUUCAAUAACCUUCACCGUUAUACAUGUUAGAAAUGAGUCAAAGGACCGAAGCUCUUACUGCCCCUCACAAUGAGCGGAAAAGGUUGCGAAAUGUAGGGCAGAGAGCCGACCCUCUCCCUGAGAGCGGGGGGUAAAAAUGGCUUUCUCAGUCAGUUGGAGGUCAGGCGUUGACUGCCGGAAUAGAUUUUCAUUCCAGACACAGGUAGUACGAGAGAGUCCCGCAUCCCGCUCUCCCCUGGGCUUCAGGCAGCCUGUUAAAAUGCUGAAGGCUAAAUGCAGACACUCUUGAACAUGGACACACACUCUCAUAGGCACACACACACACACACACACCGGCACAGCUCUGAGCCUGCUCUGAUUUCCCAAAUCGUCCUCCAAUUGAACAUGUAUGUGAGCAUGAGCAGAUGAGAUGUAGUCCUCUAGCUCAAGUGCCCUUGACCACGUCCACCUCUCCUGAAAAACAAAUGUUGUCUUCUCCUCUUUUGUCCGUCAUUGGCCGUGUCCUCCUCUCUAUCCUCAUCCAACCUCCGAGUACCUCGUCCACCUCUCUUGACUUCCUACCUCUCUUUGUUUCGUCUCUUUUCUCAAGUGUUACACCAACUAUUUCAAAUAUCUCCUCUCUCCUCUCUUUCUUCAUUCUUGCUUUUUUGCCUGUGAAUCUUCCCUCACUGACAUUUCUGGUCAAUAAUCUUAAGGGAAACAUGCGCUUUGAAUCUAAAACAGAACCUGCUAUUUCCCAAAGUUUCGGGUGAAUCACAGUAUCUUCCUUUCUGUCCAUCUCCUUCUUCUGAAUGUGCCUUCACAAAACUCCCUGGCUAUGUCAUACAGUACACUUCUGUUUCUCCAUGCUGUUCUCCUUUAUUCCCACACCUCUUCUUCUUCUUCUUUUUGCAUGAAGACGUCUUUGUUAAAUGUAUGAAAGGAGGAGAGGAGGGAGAACUUGGCAGAAUAAGAAUUCAAUCAGCGGAUGCCACCGAAAAACAAAAAGCAGAAAAGGCGAAUGCCGGCUUAUCUCGACAAUAAAGCUGCGUGCUUUCUGUCGACAACAACAUCUUUUUCCAACAAACAUCUCUAUACUUUGCGGCGAUAGUGUCAUGGGAGCUCAUUGUCAAAACAUUAGCUGUCCAGGUUCACCAACAGCAGCAGGCGUUUACAAUUACCCCUUUUAUGUGAGUUUGGAAAAGCCCAACGCUGACUGCAAAGCCAAGGGUAAAAACAAAUGUCUGUCUCUAGAACUUUUUACUGCAGUAAACAAAACACUUACACAAAAGUAGAGAAUUAAUGUUGUCACUCUUCACAACGUUUAUGAUCAUUCAGGUGAGUUAAACUCGUGGACAGUCAUUGAAUAGUUUCUGCAGACUAGGACGAGGGAAAAACACAUACCUGUUUUUGUAGUAUGUAGUUUUGGCGCUGUGGGCAGGUGAUAAUGGUGCGUUCCAGUUGUUCUCAGAUGUAGGAAUUUAUGAGCUCAGAGUCAGAACUUUCAACUGGAAUGAACGUCGAGGUUGGAUUUCCGACUUGGAAAGUUGAACGAUCAACACAGUCCCCGAGUUGAUGUUUAAAGAUGGCAGCAUUUUGUAAACAAUGAAAUACUUAAAAAGAAAAAAUAGCCUACCUCCUGCGCCUUUGUGUUUCCUCUUCAUCCACUGUGUUUGCAUUUCGCAGAAGAACCUCAUAUUUGUCCAGAAGUAGCUUAUAUUAGGACAAGGCAAGCGCUAAGAUAACUUUCGUAGAUGUAGCCAUCUUUUUCCGACUUGGUAACUGAAACGAUGGUAACUUGGGUGUGACGUCAUUCCCAGCUCCGACACCUGACUUCCGAGGUAACUUGAACGCACAAUAAGUCCUGCUGGAAGUAAUAGCAGGAAUAGUAAAUCAUGAUAAAAAUUUUGAUGAUAACGAUUACCAUUCUAAUUUCAAAAGCUGGUGCAUGUGUAUCGGGGGUUUCAUGAAUCAGCUGUGAGAUCACCGAUGAUAACUCGCCAAUGCUAAUGCUCAGCGCGAAUGCUCUGCGGUGCGCCGCACAUAUGUAUACUGAUACAUGAGUCCGAGGUAAGAAGAAAACUCAUUUGUGGCAGCGUGCCACGAUUAAUUGCAUGUAGAUGAAACUCCCUGUUAAUCAGCUUCAUCUGACUCGCCUUAAGUAUCUGUGCAGGCGAGCUGUGUAGCCUACAAUUUGCAUUUAUACUUUCUAUUAAGUUUGAAAUGGAAUCAUGGUGGACGGAGGAGACCACAGCGCCAAAGACAUCCAUCAGCCCUCUAGAGGACUCAGUCGGAAGUAUGGGCAUAUUUUAAGUUUUGUAGGAAUGUCGAGGAAACGCUUAAUUGAAGAUAGAAAUCAUGUCUAAAUACGAUGAAACGACAAAAACAAGGCAUCGUUAAGCGCUAGUUAAAAGCGUCAAAAACGUAAUUAAUGCCUUUGAAUACAUUUUUUAAAAUACUGCAGUAAUACUGGAAAACAUGCUUAUUUUGGUCAAAAUAACCGUGAGGUAGUAUUUUCAUACUGUUACAUCCCUAGCUGGAAGAGAGUAUCAGCAUCUUCAUGAAGUUUGUCAGGUGAUGAAGCAUGAAGCGCCUCAGUUUAUUGAUGGACAGCUAAAUUAUCUCAGACUUCAGACACCUGCCAUACCAUCCCUAUUUGGUCCAUCAGGUCCUUGUUAUCACUUACGGUAUAUUAUAAAAACAUCUCCUGGUGUUGAACAGUUUUAACCCACUACUAUCUUGUUUACUUCCUGUUACAUGUGAGUAAAUGUAUAUAAGGGAUAGUGUAAGCUUGGCGUUUCCUGACAUGCUUCAUACCAUCCUGUCUUUAUCUGUUUUUUAUUUGACCUGUGUGAGAUUAAACACAUCCAUUUGUUCUUCUUUACAGACACUAUUGUCCCCGGUUGGUUUUUCCCUCUCCUUUCCUUCCAGCCCGUCUCUUUCUAUUGUCCUCCAUCACUCUGUCUUUCUCUCAUCUCUGUCAGCAUCUUAUUUUCUUCUCUCUGUGUGCUAUUUCCCUGCUGCGUGGCUCCUGUCAUGCAUUUUGCUGUUUGGCUGUCAGUUCAGCCGGUCUGUGGCCUGUGCUACGGUAUGCAUAUGCAAUUUAAUUACUGAUGCUCCCCUCUGACAGCCAGUUCAGCUCUGUAAAGAUCUCGGCUCUUUCUAAUAUCCCAGGAGAUAUUGUUCAGUGUGCAGUUUGAACAGAGAAGAAUGUCUUUUACAUUUAGAUAGCUUGUGUGUGUCUGAAUUGUUUUACAUAUAGUAUUUUGUUAUGGAUGUAAACAUUGGCUACUGUAAUUACACACUGCUCAUUUGACGUUUGUUUUUACAAGGUGAACUAUCAGUGAUCAUUUGUUCCAUUAUUCUACGACAACAACAGAAACACUUACUGCAGAGGUGUCAUCAUAAUAAAUACCAUAAACCUGCACAGGUGAACCUUGCUAAUGGCAAAAUUCUAAAGACACCAGUUCAAUACUGCUCGCUCUUUUUGAUCGCUGUAAAUAUUUAUUGUAGUUUGCUAUUCAUAGUUCCCACUGGAUGAACCUCACUAACGUUAUUGAUUCCUUUAUUGAUCCCCAACCAUGGUGUUCACAAAUAUGAAGAACUACAGGUUUUUUGAGCGUUACAGGUUACAGACGAGGCUCCUGGAAUUAGGAAGACAUUAAAAUUAUUCACACUAGUAAAAACAUUUGUGCGAGUAAAAUCAUUCGCGCGAAUGAAUUACAUGUUAAGCCAACACAAAGACGCGAUUAGACGCUCCUACUUAUCUGGCAGCGUCAAUGACGUGAAUUGGGCAAGAGCUGAAAAAGUCUCAAUUUGAGUGGGUAUUUGUGUCACGAUAUUUGUGACGUAUGAUAACGGUUGUUCACUGGUAACUGAAGUCGGUGUGUGGGUGCCCCGAUUUAUAUACCUUUUCUUUCAGUUACCAAAACCAGAAUAAAAAGGAGCUCACCCAGAGGCAAGUGAGUGUGGAGGUCGGAUUACCUUGUAAAUUGUUAAAAACCUUUGUCUAUCACUUGAUCCCACCGGUUGAAUUGACAGGGAUUACUAUUGAAAUAACCAGUGACGCGCAAAUGAGUGAGUAAAUACUAUUUAUUCACGCAACUAGAUUCGCGUGAAUUAAGCGAGUAGAUGAUUUUACUCGUGCUCGGUACGAUUGGACUAAUCUCCAUGAUGCUUGACUCCAACAUUCCUGCUCCCUGAGGGUUAACUGCUGACACCUCCAGUUUGUUUAAUUACACAACAAAGACUAAACUUACCACUUGGAUUUCUUACUAUUCACCUCACUGUGUUGAGUACUUGAUUCUGAUUGUUUAAAAGCCCAUAGCAACUGUUAUCAGACCAGAGUAAACCAGAUCACACGUUCUGGCACAUUAUUAUUUUUUAAUUGACACCGAAGUAAACAGUUAGUUCCCAUUGGCAUACUGAUAAGUCAGGUUAAAACAAAAUGGAUAUUUAAAAAUCCGGUCCUGUCCUGGCCUUCAGGCAACAGCAGCAGAGCUGUCGAGAGCAUAUUUAUUCACCGACAAACAACCUUAAACCCUGAGCGGCAGCGGUAAAGCAAUUGUAUUAAAAGUUGUAACCUUUACCUAAUUUAUUUUUAAAGAAGUGUCGACCACGUAAUUUGACGAAUGAGGACAAAAGUCAACAUUUAUAUUCUUGGAGAAGACCCAUUCAACCUUGUCUAACGUAGCUGUCAGUGGACUGAUUAUUAUAUUUUCAAGCUACAUCUUUAACCCUGACUGUUAACUGAAAUGUUCAGUCUCAGAAGUCUGUACAAAAAUAAUCAAUUCCUUGGUUGAAUCAUCUUUAAAUCAAUAGUCAGUGUCAAUUUUUCCAUGACCCUCGAUAGGCGGGUAAUAAGCAGGGAAUGCAUGUGGUGUGGGUGGUUAUUUAGGUUAUAUAGAGACUUGACCCUGACGCAAAGCUUCAGCAUAUUUUAUCAAUUCUGUGUCUGACAGGGAGGCACUCGAGGGCUAAGAGAGAACAUGAACAAAACGGCACGUACGGAGGAACAAGCCUAAUCUCUUCAUACACAGACAGGUUGUCAUUUGUCAGCCAGCCAAGGCGAGAGGAGAAAUUAAACUUGAAAGUUACACUUGCCGGCAACAGUGUCAAUUUGCAUUUAAAUAUGUUUGACCCCCCUGCAGCAAGUCCCUCUUUUGUCGGAUGGGUUACAGUAAUUAAGCCCAAUUACAAGGAUCUGUUUCGUCUUUCCUCUUAAUUUUAGGGUGCCCAUGCAUGAAAAAUGGGGCUUGUUGAAGAGUCGGUCGUUUCAACCAGAAGAGUCACAGGCUACAGUCGUAAAAGGAAGGAGAACGAAAACACUAAAUGGUCAGAAAACACCGUCAUAAGG